AUUGAACGCUGGCGGCAGGCCUAACACAUGCAAGUCGAGCGCGCGGCGGACGGGUGAGUAAUGUCUGGGACCCUGCCUGAUGGAGGGGGAUAACUACUGGACACGGUAGCUAAUACCCCAUACCAUCAGAUGUGCCCAGAUGGGAUUCGCUGGGUGGUGGGGUAAGGGCUCACCCAGGCGACGAUCCCUAGCUGGUCUGAGAGGAUGACCAGCCACACGGGAACUGAGACACGGUCCAGACUCCGACGGGAGGCAGCAGUGGGGAAUAGUGCACAAUGGGCGAAAGCCUGAUGCAGCCAUGCCGCGUGUGUGAAGAAGGCCUUCGGGUUGUAAAGCACUUUCAGCGGGGAGGCGUUACCCGCAGAAGAAGCACCGGCUAACUCCGUGCCAGCAGCCGCGGUAAUUC
rnacentral:rRNA from 1 species